CGGAAGCCCGGGGGCUUCCCGUCCCCGAGAGGGCGGAGUCCGCACCAACGCUGCGGGAGAGAGGAGCGGGUUAGGGCCGGGCUUUCUGUGGAUCGGACACUCGAAGGGACGCGUCCGCGCGUGCGAACAAGACCUUCUCCUGACUCCUUCCGAGGGGUCGUCCCCGGACGCGCGGCUUCCGGAGUUCGCCCGGUGUUGUCCCCGCUCACGCGACAGCACCUGCGAGUGAGGAAAGUCUUCCUUCCAACAGAGUCUUUCAGGCAAAACCGUCCAGUUUUGAGCCACCGCCCACCCUGAAGGAAAACCGGAGAUUCUUGCCGCGGUUCCUGACACCUAAGCGGGAGGUGGACGCCCGGCGUUCCCGGCAAAGGCGCACCCCGGGCCCGUCGUGCGCUCCCCGCACCGUCCCUCGGGCCACCGAGCCCCAGCGUCCCGUUUGGAGAGGAGGCGCGCGCUGACCCUCGGGUGUCCCGGGCCCGGCGCGCGCGGGGGGACGGCAGGUCCCGCGGGUCGCUGCAGGAAGACGUGCGGCCGGGACCCCGCGCUGGGACCCGCUGGCCGCCUUCCGCGUGAGGGUGGCCGCACCUUCCCGGGCGCCUGGCAGCGGUUUCCUUCGCGCGCGCCGACGGUCCCCGCGUCCCCGUCCCCUUUGUGCGGCCGGGAGGGGAGCGGCCGCCUGCAGACACCAUGCGGUCCGCCGCGGGCAGGUACGCCGCGAAGAAGAGGAAAAAGCCAGUGCGGAAGAGUCCUAAGCCAGUGCCUCCAGAGGGAGCCAAGACCAACCCCUCCAAAAGGCACCGGGACCGACUGAAUCAAGAGCUGAGCCGACUCACCAACCUGCUACCCUUCCCUGAGGACGUGCGUGCACGGCUGGACAAGCUUUCCGUCCUCAGGCUGAUCGUGGGCUACCUGAAGGUAAAGGGCUACUUUGCAGCCGCCCUAAAGGACAGCAAUGCAGGCUGCUCCACUGACUCACCCAUGAACCCAGGAAGCAGUGAACAGACCUUUCCACAAAUCAGUGUAGAUCUGUUUUCUGAAGGGGACUUGCUGCUUCAGGCCCUCAACGGCUUCCUCAUGGCAGUCACAGAGGAUGGCUACAUCUUUUACGUCUCUCCCACAGUCCAGGACUAUCUGGGAUUUCAUCAGUCAGAUGUCAUCUAUCAGAGUGUGUUCGAGCUGAUCCACAAGGAGGACAGAGCCAUGUUCCAGAGCCAGUUACGCUGGCCUCCAGACACAGCGCCAGUCAGCAGAGAGGCAGAUUCGGACACCAGCCCGCUGCCUGGAGAAAGUUCCCUCCCAUUUAGUGGCACCCCUCCUGCCAGCUUGCAGCAUCUGCCCUUGGAAGACCCUUCCUACCUGGAGAGAAGCUUUGUCUGUCGGUUCCGCUGCCUGCUGGACAAUUCUGGGUUUCUGGAAUUGAAUUUCCAGGGCCAUCUCAAAUUCCUCCCUGGGCAGAACACUAAGUCAGAAGACGGCACCUUCUUGUCUCCUCAGCUAACCCUGUUUGCCACUGCAACACCUCGUCAGCCUCUCACCAUCCUAGAGCUCCAAAACAAAACAUUUCUUUUCCAAACAAAACACAAAUUGGAUUUCACACCUAUAGCCUGUGAUUCCAGAGGGAAGGUGAUUCUGGGCUACACUGACAGCGAGCUCCGCAGGAGGGGAUCCGGCUACCAGUUCAUCCACGCGGCAGACAUGAUGUACUGCGCCGAGAACCACGUGCGGAUGAUGAGGACGGGCGAGAGCGGGCUCACGGUGUUCCGGCUGCUCACCAAGCAGGCCGGCUGGCUGUGGGUGCAGUCCAACGCGCGCCUGCUGUUCCGCGGCGGCCGGCCCGCAUGCAUCGUCGCCAGACAGAGGGCCCUCACGAACUUGGAGGGUGAGGAGCACCUGCGCAAGCGUGACCUGCAGCUGCCAUUCACUUUCACUACUGGGGAGGCCAUCCUGUACGAGAGCAGCCUCCCGAGCACCCUGACUGCCCUCCCAGCCAGGAAGAGGGCCAGGGCUAGGAAGGGUCUUCCAGCUGGCCAGGACCCUUCAUGCCCGAGCUCUCUCUUUGGAACCAUGAUGCAGCAAGAUGAAUCCAUGUACUUGUCCUGCAUUGCCCCCACCCUCCAGGGCCCACCCUUGGAGAGGCAGGGGUCUGACGACAGAUGUGAAGACAGGGAAAAGAAAGAGGAGGAGGAAGGCAGCUCCUUCCUGACCCUCAUUGAGACCUUGCUGGAGAAGGGCAAGGAAGAACAGCCCAAUCUUUGCUCUACUCUCCAGCACCUGGGUGUCACCAGUCUCAGCCAGCAUCUGUGCAAAGAGAAGCUUCAGGGAGCUGACUUGGACCCUGCAGGACCUCAGGACUGCCACCUGCCACCACCCAGCCAAGGAAGAGGACUCCACAGGGAGAAGGAGACCCGUUUUUAUGACAGUGGGAAUGUGGACUUGUCCCCAUCAGCCAGAAUGACUUCUCUGCAGACCCCGAAGCCACUAUCUUCUCUGGCCUCAGGCCCACUAGCCACGGAAGUAGCUCCACCUCCAAACAUGGGCUUGGGGCCCAGCUACCCUCAAGCACAUCCCCCGCAUUUUCUUGUCACUGGCCCCCCUAUCCCUGGCCCCACACUCCAGAACCUCCUCCGAGGCCCCCCACAGUGGUGGCCUCAGCACAGCCAGGCAGUGCCUUUGAACUUUGAGAUGUGCCGGAAGCCAGCCUUUGACCUCAGCCCACUGCCCCCGGCCUCCAGCCCAAGCCGCCCUGCUGAGGGUUUUCAGCCAAGCCACACACCUUUUCUCUCUGUAGGAGAAAAUGUUCCUGGACACCUGGCUCCACCACGCCCUGGUGUUCUGGAUUUUUGCAAAGAAUCUAUGCCCUGGACCUCCACACACAGUGGUCAGGAUCAGGGGUCCUUGAUCUCCUCAGACCCUGCUUUCUGUGUCAACCCAUGUGGUACCCACCAUUUGGGCAGCAUUUGGGAUUCCCCCAUCCAGGGCUACUCAUUUGCAGUCCCCAUGGAGGUGGCGGCAGGGCAGGCCCAGCCUGACCCCUUCAGCCACCUGGGGGUGGUUGACCCCUGCCUUCCAUGGACAGGGCCGCCCAGUCCCAGCUUAUGCAGGGGUCAGCCCCCAUCCAUGCAAGGGGCACCUGGGACACCAGAGGAAACAUCUGGAGUUGGAGAGCAUCCACCCCACUUUGGGGCCAGGCCAGCUUUCCAGGACUCCAGUCUGUCCUUCUCAAGUACUUCUGGAUAGACCCUCAGCCAUGCGGGGCUCUUACACUGCAGAGCCAGGAGCACUAUGAGCCAGUGAGAGAAGAGGCACCAAGUGUCCAUCACCAGGCUGGCCACCCGAGAGACACCACUCCCCAGGCUCCUCAGCAGAACCCCUUCCCCUCCCCUGACACUACCAACAGCUCCCCACAUGCAGGUGGCAACCGCUACAGCAGCCCAGCAGAGCUCAUGCGACAGGCCAAAGACAGACCACAGGUGCCACCUAGCCUGGCCCAGCCUAUCUGCCCCCCCUGACCUAAAGAUACAAAAAAUUAGCUGGGUGUAGUGGCGUGUGCCUGUAAUCCCAGCUACUCAGGAGGCUGAGGCAGGAGAAUUGCCUGGGCCCAGGAGGCAGAGGUUGCAGUGAGCCGAGAUUGCGCCAUUGUGCUCCAGCCUGGGCAACAAGAGCGAAACUCUGUCUCAAAAAAAAACCUAAUAAGACUCAUAGAAUACACCCAGAUGCUCACCUGGUUUCUAACUUUGUGGGCAUCUGGCCUAAAAGCCCUGACGCAGGUGCGCAAUGUGCCUGGUGGCCAGGGCUCUGUGCGCCUGGUGAGUCUGUGCACCUGGUGGGACUGUGCGCUCCUUUUGGCCUCCUGCCUCCCAUCCUGGUACGUUGGAGAUGUUGUUUCGGGAAUCGCAGGUGUGCAGUUUCUCUGGAUAGAUUUUGACCAGGACAAUUAGUGAAUGGACACCUCUGGUUAUGCUGUGGUGGGCUGUGUCGGGCUGGAGGGGUUGAUGUGUGUAUGGUAACAACAUGGGAAUGUUAGCAUGAUGGGGUGUGUUUGUGCACACAUACAGGAGUGGUGAGUCUGGCCUGGGGUGCAGGACACAAACCCUUGGAUAUCCCCAGCUCUGGCAAGCCCCUGGCAACCAGACUUUAGUUCACAAAGUACGGUGUUUAUGAUGGUGUUUUUUUUCUCACUCUCGCCCAUUCUGGAGUGCAGUGGUGUGAUCUCAGCUCACUGCAACUUCUGCCCCCAGGGUUCAAACAAUCCUCCUGCCUCAGCCUCCUGAGUAGCUGGGACUACAGGCACAUGCCACCAUGCCUGGCUAAUUUUUGUAUUUUUCACCGUGUUGGCCUUCCAGUGCCCCCACCAAGGUCUGCCCGAGCUGGAGUGGAGCUGGGUUCUCCAACAUGGAGAACCUGCUGCUGAAAACUAUUCCGGGUAAUUUCUCAUGGUUACUCUGCAAAGAUAUUGUGAUGGCUGCAGGUUCCUGGUGUUUCACCAUGUCGGUCAGGCUGGUCUUGAACUCCUGACCUCAGGUAAUCCACCUGCCUUGGCCUCCCAAAGUGCUGGGAUUACAGGCGUGAGCCACUGCACCUGGCCUAUGGUGCAUUUUUGAUAUUCUUUUUUUGUGGACGUCUUUAAAAAUCAAACCUGCAGUGAGUGUCUCAGACUCAAACCCGGGAACACGGGAGAAACAAGCUCUAGUCGCAAUGGAGCCCAGGGGAUGACACUGGCGGUGCGGCCACCCGCCGGCUCCGGGCAGCUGGCGGGUGCUGGUCAGCGCUGGGUUAAGGUGGCUUUCUAGCUGUGCCCUGUGGUGAGGUUUCUGUGCCAGAGUCCUUCAUGUUUGCAAGAUGACAGCUGGAGCAUCUGACCCCAGAGGCCACAAAGCAAUCUCAAUAUUGUGACAGGAAGGCCUCAUCCCGGACACACUUGACUGGUUCUUUAGAAAAACGCUUCUCCACACACACGCAGACACAUGCCUUGCCGUGCCCUGAGGGGUCCAGACGGUGCACUUGAGGCCUCUUUCUCUGGAAUUCAGCUGUCAACUGCAUCAGCAGCCUUUUCGCACAGCAGGGAGUUUGCUAAUGUGUGUGCAGCCAAAUGAACAUGCAUAAAACCCCGGACAGCCGGGAACCCCCAGCCACCACAGUCUCUCUGCAGAGUAACCGUGAGAAAUUACCCAAAGGGUUUUUAGCCACAGGUUCUCCACAUUGGAGAACCCAGCUCCACUCCAGCUCGGGCAGACCUCGGUGGGGGCACUGGAAGGCCGGGCAUGUCCAGCCUCUCGGGUGUUGCCCUCACCAUGGUCAGUCCCGUCUCCCUGGGUUCCUUGAGUGUGGUGGGCUUGGCCUGGGUGACUUACCAGCUCGCACAUCACUUGCCUGUGUGGAGUCCUGAGUGAGGGACCCGGUGAGCCAAGGCUGAGUCCUUUAGUCCUGGGGCACUGAGUCCUCUACACUAGAAUUCCACAGCUGGCAUGGAGGACAUAGGCACAGCACAGGUGUCAGUGUGAACAGGACACACGAGGCUGAGUGCAGCCAGGUGUCUCUGUUGACCUUGGGGUUUGGUCCGUCACCAAAGGAUGCUCAGCCCAUAGCCUCCCUUAGUACAAAGAUUGUCAGCUCCACUGCACAACCCGUGUUUUCAGAGACAAGGUCUCACCCUGUGGCCCAGGCUGCAGUGCAGUGGCACGAUCAUAGCUCACUGCAUCCUGACCUCCCAGCCUCAGCCUCCCAAGUAGCUGGAACCACAGACAACUGCCACCACACCAAAAGUGGCUCCUGCAACUUUUAAAAAUAAUUAUUUUUAUUUGUUGUAGAGACAAGGUCUCAUUGUUACCCAGGCUGGUCUCAAACUCCUGGUCUCAAGUGAUGCUCCUGCCUUGGCUUCCCAAAGUGCUGGGAGUAUAGGAGUGAGCCACCAUGUCUGGCCCUCCUGAAACUUUGUAAAAAGUCAGAGAGUGAGUGAGUUCUUGGCCUCACAAAUGUGUUCAGGGUGGUUUUCCUUUAACUGGGAGGCUUUUGGAGGUUGCCUUAGUGAACUGGAUCCUGGCCCAGCCUGGAGAUGAACUGGAGGUCAGAGGUUGAUCAGGUCACACCCUGGCUGUGCAUCAGUGCCCCAUUCCAACCUGCACCUCCUAGCUGUUGGCCUGUCACAGAGUGCGUCUGGACGUUCCACGGGUGUCUGGGACACCAUCAUGCUCUGUGGCCAAACAAGGGGGGGGGGUCCCACAGCCAGCUUCAGAAGGUGACUGACCCCCAUGUGUGACCAAAGAUCCCUCUCUCCUCCCAUAAUUGUAUCACAUGCUGGGUCCCCAGAGGGACACUUUGGCCCCUGCCAACCAGGGCCUAUGGAGAGCUUAUCAUGAGAACCUGCAGGGCCACUGGGAGGACAGGAUGAGGCAAUUGCCUCUGGCUUCUUGCUCUCAUUGGACAAAACCAACCAAAACUUGAGUCCAGGGAGGCUGCUGGAGUCCCCCCUGCAGGCAGCACACAGGAUGCAGAGGGGUUGAGGCGGGCUCUGGAGGUGAAUGGGGGGUGUCCUGGACACUCCAGGACAGGCCAGAGGCGCUCAGCAGCUCCAGCAGCCAUCUGCCCACCUCAGCACUUGCACCCUACAGGGAGGCUUUGGGUUUUUCGUAGAAGCCAUCAGUGGCCAGUGCCUGGGGAAGGCCUGUGCCCAUCACCCUGCCACAAGCAAGGAGCAAGCUCGCCCCUAAGAGUCUGAGUGAAGAACAAGGAGGCCAGGGGGAGCCCCAUCCCCAGGAGCAGGUGGGUAUUUGUCGGGGGAGGCCCAUAGAUAGCAUCUGAGGAAAGAUGGGCAGCCCAGAGUCCACGCAGCACAUCAGGGCUCUCCCAUGGGUGCUCACUGUUGGCUGAUGUCAUAGGCAUGGUGGCCUUAGCGGCAUCUAAUUUGUCUACUUGUUUUGAGUUUACAUUGAGUUGAUAUCAGUAUAUGAUUGUUAUAUGAUUAAAAACAACUUAGUUUUGCAUUCGUGAGUUAUGAGGGUUUUUUUCUUUAGAAAUUGUCCAUACAUUUUUCAUAUAAGAAGCACUGGCCUUGCAUGACCCGGGACCCAUGUAGUGCAAUGGGUGUUGAUCAGGACAUGCUGCACUUUGCUGUGAAGACGGUCCCCCUCACUGGGAUCUUGGGAAGGUUUUUUCUUUGCGGGGGGACUGUUUCUGAUCUUCCUGCAUUUCAGGGAUGUGGUGAGGAUGACGUAUAUCGAAGUGCUGAGGAAUCUGCACAAGAGACACGCUCCAGCCCGUCACUCAUCAAUCCGUCCAUCCAUUUCCCAAAUCUCUCUUGAACUCUUUAUCCCUGUGCUCGGGGCAGGCCAAUUCACACUUAGGGAUGCCCACAGAGCCCUGAAAGUCACAUUAGUCCUCAUUUACAGAUUAAUAAAUGGAGCUUGAAGAGGUUAAGAGGCUUCCCCAAGGUCACCCAGCUGCCAGGCAGGCACCAGACUGACCAUGCGUUGUGACAGGCACUGGAGUGAUGGACGAGAUGAGGUUUUGCCACAUUACCCAGGCUGGGGUAUGAUGCAUCUUAAAGCAGAGAUUAUUGCUGACAGUUUUACAGAUGAAGAAAUGGGUAACACAUGAAAAUAUAGAGAAUGAGAAGAGCCCUGACAGGAAUGCAUAAAUUUGUUUUUUAUGCACUAGAACAAGAUUAAUGUAAAAUGAUUUCUAUUAAAAUAAAUGCAGAUGAAAAUCCCGCCGUAGUCCUCUAUUUCCAUCCCAGUACAAAAAUUCACCCGAACUUCAAGUUAAGUCUGAAUACAAAAGACACAAAAGUUGGCGGGGGUGCAAAACGUAAGUUCAACAUUUUAAACACUAUUUUUAGUAAUUUAAUGUUAUAUGUUACACUUGUCAUAUUUUGGAGGGAUACAUUUAUUUAAAUAUUCCUCACUAAAAUUCCUCUGAAAAGUGCUGUAUUUGUUAGGGUUUUCCAGAGAAAUUGUGUGUGUGUGUGCGUGUGUGCAUCUAUAUCUAUAUCUCUGUAUCUAUAGAGAGAUAUUUAUUUUGAGGAAUUGGCUCAUGCAGUAGUGGAGACUGGGAAGUCCAGAAUCUGCAAGAUAAGUCAGCAGGCUGGAGCCUAGGGAAGAGCCAGUGCUGAAGUUUGAGUCUGCUGGCAGAAUUCCCUGCUCUUUGCGGGAGGUCAGUCUUUUUUCUCUUGGGGCCUUUAACUGACUGGAUGAGGCCCAGCCACAUUAUGGAAGAUCAUCUGCUUUACUCAAGGUCUUUUGAUUUAAAUGUUAAUCAUAUCUUUAAAAAUACCUUUACGGAAACAUCUUGAAUCAUGUUUGACUGUUUAUCUGGGAAGUGUGUUUUAGUCAAGUUAACACAUAACAUUAACCAUCAUUCACAAAUACCUUUCAUUUAAUUUGAAUAAAUCAUACUUAGUGAUUUAAAGAUUCUUUAAAAACAGAACUUGCAUCUACUCAAGUCUUUAGAGGUAAAUUCUACUCUGCAGGAAGCACAGGGGUUAGAAGGGCUAGCUAAACAGCAAGGAAAUGUAGUCACAUCCGAAUGUAGGCAUUCUGUGGGAUGACUGACUCGGCCUCCUCCGCAUGCCAAUAGCAGGACAAAUGCACACCACACAAAGGGUGGAAGCGGGGCUGGGAGAGGUGUCUGUGGUAGUAAGAGGUGUAAGAGACACAGGAACAAAAUACAAUGUGUGAACCUUGUUUCAACUCUGAUGGGAAUAAAACAUUGAACUGUGAAAAGAUUUUCUUUUUUAGACAGUAUGAGUUUGAAUAUGAACCAGGUACAACUGACAUUUAAAAAUUAUGAUUUUUCAUAGGUGUGAAAAUGGCAUUGUGGUUACAUAAGAAAAUGUCUUUCUUAAAAUUUGAGAUGCAACUAUUUUUAUUGGUGAAACUGCAAAACGUUUGAAAUCUACUUUAAAAUUACUCCAGCAAAAAGAAAGAUUAGAAUCUGUAAAACAAAUAUGGCAGAAUAUUUUUGAUUGUUGAACUUGGGUGAUGUAUAUUGGGUUCACUGCAAUUUCUACUUUUGUGUAUGUUUGGAAAUUUUCAUCAAUAAAAGUACAAAAUAAGUAA